AUUGAACGCUGGCGGCAGGCCUAACACAUGCAAGUCGAACGAGUGGCGGACGGGUGAGUAAUGUCUGGGAAACUGCCCGAUGGACGGGGAUAACUACUGGAAACGGUAGCUAAUACCGCAUACCAUCGGAUGUGCCCUGAUGGGAUUAGCUAGUAGGUGGGGUAACGGCUCACCAAGGCGACGAUCCCUAGCUGGUCUGAGAGGAUGACCAGCCACACUGGAACGGAGACACGGUCCAGACUCCUACGGGAGGCAGCAGUGGGGAAGAUUGCACAAUGGGCGCAAGCCUGAUGCAGCCAUGCCGCGUGUAUGAAGAAGGCCUUCGGGUUGGAAAGUACUUUCAGCGGGGAGGCGUUACUCACAGAAGAAGCACCGGCUAACUCCGUGCCAGCCGCCGCGGUAAUUC
rnacentral:rRNA from 1 species